CCUGACGCAGCGACGCCGCGUGAAGGAUGAAGGCUUCGGUUGUAAACUUCGGUAGACUGGGAAGAAGAACUACGUUCGUUGAGGGCGUAGAGUGACGGUACCAGUCUGAAGCCCCGGCUAAUUACGUGCCAGCAGCCGCGGUAAUACGUAUGGGGCAAGCGUUGUUCGGAAUUAUUGGGCGUAAAAGGGCUCGCAGGUGGUUUGUUAAGUUGGUGGUUUAAUCUCUGGGCUCAACCCAGAGUCAGCCUCCAAAACUGGCGAACUUUGAGUACGAUAGGGGAUAGCGGAAUUCUCGGUGUAGCGGUGGAAUGCGUAGAUAUCGAGAGGAACACCAAUGGCGAAGGCAGCUAUCUGGAUCGUAACUGACACUCAUGAGCGAAAGUGCGGGGAGCAAAACAGGAAUUAGAUAACCCUGGUAGUCCGCACCGUAAACGUUGUAUACUAGUUGUUGGUGGUUUCAACGCCAUCAGUGACGUCGCUAACGCAUUAAGUAUACGCCUGGGGAGUAUGCUCGCAAGGGUGAAACUCAAAGAAUUGAC
rnacentral:rRNA from 1 species